rnacentral:rRNA from 1 species
GAGUUUGAUCGUGGCUCAGAACGAACGCUGGCGGCAUGCCUAACACAUGCAAGUCGAACGAUGGCUUCGGCCAUAGUGGCGCACGGGUGAGUAACGCGUGGGAACCUGCCUUUUGGUUUGGGAUAACUCCGGGAAACUGGAGCUAAUACCGGAUGAGCCCGAGCAAUCGGGGAAAGAUUUAUCGCCAAAAGAGGGGCCCGCGUCCGAUUAGGUAGUUGGUGGGGUAACGGCCUACCAAGCCUACGAUCGGUAGCUGGUCUGAGAGGAUGAUCAGCCACACUGGGACUGAGACACGGCCCAGACUCCUACGGGAGGCAGCAGUGGGGAAUAUUGGACAAUGGGCGCAAGCCUGAUCCAGCAAUGCCGCGUGGAUGAUGAAGGCCUUAGGGUUGUAAAGUCCUUUCGGCGGGGACGAUGAUGACGGUACCCGCAGAAGAAGCCCCGGCUAACUUCGUGCCAGCCGCCGCAGUAAC